CCUUUCUCCCCGCCGCAUUCCCGGUGUCGACUUACUAGCUGCAAGCCUCUGCCUGCCUUCCUGCGCGCCGUUCCCCGCUAGUCGCUGCUGCUGGCGCGCACUCGCCGGGUUUUUCCUCCCACGGCCUCGAGAUGGUGGUGAAUGUGGCACGGAGGAGCCGGGCCUUCCAACCCGGUGGGCCCGAGCUCCGAAAGGCCCCCUCGGCAGUGAGAGGGGCGGGAGCCCGCGGGGGCCGCGCCCUUCUCUCGCUUCGGACUGCGCAACGCUGCGCUCUGGGCUGACAGGCGGAUAAAACGGUCCCAUCAAGACUGAGAAAAAGCACACCAGCUAUUGGCACAGCGUGGGCAGUGGGGCCUACAGGAUGACUGACUUAGUCUACAGAGAUCCCGGCGUACUUAAGCAGAUGAAGACUCUUAAGAUGACAGAAGGUGAUUUUUCUGGUGAUCGAGGACUUCCGGGGUAAUGACAGUGAUGAAAUGCAGGGGACCUGGUUGCCCCCAAGUUUCCUGGCAGUGUGUGAUACUGAGGAGGUGAGCUUGUUUCUGGAGCUGUGCUUUAAGGUAAAGUUGAUCAGCUUAAUCCUCCUGAUCCCUUUCCCAUCGGAUCUGAACACUGGUCUUGGUGGUCGUAAAAGGAGGAAAAGUAAUAGUGAAGCUGGCCUAAAUGUUGUAAUCUGGUAUAUGGCAUGUGGGCUAGUUUCAGACAGGUUUCAGAGAUGGUUGGAUCUCUGAAAUUGUAAAAUGAAGUAUAAUCUUAGGCUAAGGGAAGGAUGCGUGUGAAGCUCUGGAGGUUGGUAUAGUAAUAGCUGACCUAUUACUGCAUUUGGGAGGGAUCUGUCAUAGCUUCCUUGCCUCUUAAUUAAGGGUGGUGUUUUUUUCUUUUAGAUUCAUGUUACAUGUAAAGCUGUCCUCAUUUGUGACUAUGGACCUAUGGAGUUGGGACAAUCUCUAUGGGAAGCAGAAGGCAAGGACCCCGGUCAUUUUAGGUAGAAACAACAGCAUGCUAAUGCAAAAAAUUAUGCAGUGUGCUACUGAACUUCAGAGGUGAUCAAUAAAAGAAGAAUAAAAAGACUAAUAAAAGUA
rnacentral:lncRNA from 1 species